rnacentral:lncRNA from 1 species
UUUAAUAGACGUUUGCUGGUUGGGAGUGUUUCGAGGAAGUGGGUUGAUAUGUGGGAGGUAGAGAUGAUUGGUAAGUAGGUGGUGGAGCUUGGUAGGAAGGUUCUUGGUAACUUGGGAUAGGUUGAUGUGUGAGUGGAGGUAAUGGGUAGGUUUGGUAUCUGACUAGAGAUUUUGUCCUCUGCGCAAACAUUACGACACUCACAUCCCUUUUCUUGGUUGUGCUACCAGACUGUAGAGCCUUGUUAGUGGCUUGUAAUGCUAUAUAGUUAGUAACCACCCCACUUUUAAUACCUUCUUCGAUUCUCUCCCCUAACUUGAUGAUGAUAGAAAAUUCCUAGCCCUCGAUCAAUAUCAGCCUCUCAUAAUAUUG